UGAUGUGAGGGUGAUCUGGCUGCGAUAUCUGUCACCCCAUUGAUUUCCAGGGUUGAUUUGGCUGAUCUGGCUAGCUAGGCGGGUGUCCCCUUCCUCCCUCACCCUCCAUGUGCGUCUCUCCCAAAGCUGCGCGCUUGGUCAAAGAGGACGACCAUCCCCACUAGAGGAGGACUGGUCUUCGGUCAAGGGUAUACUGCUAGAACCUCCAAACAAGCUCUCAAAUAAACUAUUUUUUUAGUUAUGAGAAUGUGGAAAUGCUAAUUACUGUGAUUUGAUCAGCAUAUGCUAUAUAAAUAUUUGGGCAUACCAC
rnacentral:snRNA from 1 species